GGGUAACGGGGAUUAGGGUUCGAUUCCGGAGAGGGAGCCUGAGAAACGGCUACCACAUCCAAGGAAGGCAGCAGGCGCGCAAAUUACCCAAUCCCGAUACGGGGAGGUAGUGACAAUAAAUAACAAUACAGGGCUCUUAUGGGUCUUGUAAUUGGAAUGAGUACAAUUUAAAUCCCUUAACGAGGAACAAUUGGAGGGCAAGUCUGGUGCCAGCAGCCGCGGUAAUUCCAGCUCCAAUAGCGUAUAUUAAAGUUGUUGCAGUUAAAAAGCUCGUAGUUGAAUUUCGGGGUUCUACCGUUGGUCGGGCAAUAGUCUGUACUGGCGUGUGGAAUUUCUACCUUCUGGGGAACCAUCAUGUUAUUAAUUUAGCGUGGUGGGAAACCAGGACCUUUACCUUGAAAAAAUUAGAGUGUUCAAAGCAGGCUUACGUCUGAAUACAUUAGCAUGGAAUAAUAAAAUAGGACGGUGGUCCUGUUUUGUUGGUUUCUGAAUCACCGUAAUGAUUAAUAGGGAUAGUUGGGGGCAUUAGUAUUCAAUUGUCAGAGGUGAAAUUCUUGGAUUUAUUGAAGACUAACUUCUGCGAAAGCAUUUGCCAAGGAUGUUUUCAUUAAUCAAGAACGAAAGUUAGGGGAUCGAAGACGAUCAGAUACCGUCGUAGUCUUAACCAUAAACUAUGCCGACUAGGGAUCGGACGAUGUUAAUUUUUCUUGACUCGUUCAGCGCCUUACGGGAAACCAAAGUGUUU
rnacentral:rRNA from 1 species